GGGAUGACGGCUUUCGGGGUGUAAACCUCUUUUAGCAGGGAAGAAGCGAAAGUGACGGUACCUGCAGAAAAAAGCGCCGGCUAACUACGUGCCAGCAGCCGCGGUAAUACGUAGGGCGCAAGCGUUAUCCGGGAAUUAUUGGGCGUAAAGAGCUCGUAGGCGGUUUGUCGCGUCCUGCUGUGAAAACCCGAGGCUCAACCUCGGGCCUGCAGUGGGUACGGGCAGACUAGAGUGCGGUAGGGGAGAUUGGAAUUCCUGGUGUAGCGGUGGAAUGCGCAGAUAUCAGGAGGAACACCGAUGGCGAAGGCAGAUCUCUGGGCCGUUACUGACGCUGAGGAGCGAAAGGGUGGGGAGCAAACAGGCUUAGAUACCCUGGUAGUCCACCCCGUAAACGUUGGGAACUAGUUGUGGGGGCCUUUCCACGGUCUCCGUGACGCAGCUAACGCAUUAAGUUCCCCGCCUGGGGAGUACGGCCGCAAGGCUAAAACUCAAAGGAAUUGACGGGGACCCGCACAAGCGGCGGAGCAUGCGGAUUAAUUCGAUGCAACGCGAAGAACCUUACCAAGGCUUGACAUACACCGGAAACGUCUGGAAACAGUCGCCCCUUUUUGGUCGGUGUACAGGUGGUGCAUGGUUGUCGUCAGCUCGUGUCGUGAGAUGUUGGGUUAAGUCCCGCAACGAGCGCAACCCUCGUUCUAUGUUGCCAGCACGUUAUGGUGGGAACUCAUGGGAUACUGCCGGGGUCAACUCGGAGGAAGGUGGGGAUGACGUCAAAUCAUCAUGCCCCUUAUGUCUUGGGCUUCACGCAUGCUACAAUGGCCGGUACAAAGGGCUGCAAUACCGUGAGGUGGAGCGAAUCCCAAAAAGCCGGUCCCAGUUCGGAUUGAGGUCUGCAACUCGACCUCAUGAAGUCGGAGUCGCUAGUAAUCGCAGAUCAGCAACGCUGCGGUGAAUACGUUCCCGGGUUUUGUACACACU
rnacentral:rRNA from 1 species